UACAGAGGGGGCAAGCGUUGUUCGGAAUUACUGGGCGUAAAGGGCGCGUAGGCGGCCUUCUAAGUCGAACGUGAAAUCCCCGGGCUCAACCCGGGAACUGCGUCCGAUACUGGAAGGCUUGAAUCCGGGAGAGGGAUGCGGAAUUCCAGGUGUAGCGGUGAAAUGCGUAGAUAUCCUGAGGAACACCGGUGGCGAAAGCGGCGCGCUGGAUCCCUUCUGACGCUGAGGCGCGAAAGCCAGGGGAGCAAAGCGGG
rnacentral:rRNA from 1 species